rnacentral:lncRNA from 1 species
AUAGGCCCCAAUAGAACCCUAUGGACCCCAAUAGAACCCUAUGGGACCCCAAUAGAACCCUAUAGGCCCAAAUAGAACCUAUGGACCCAAUAGACCGCCCAUGAACCCAAUGGACCCCAAUAGACCAAUGGACCCCAAUAGACACCAAUGGAACCCAAUGGAACCCAAUGGACCCCAAUAGACCCCAAUAGACCCCAAUGGAACCCAAUAGAACCCAAUGGACCCCAAUGGACCCCAAUGGAACCCAAUGGACCCCAGUAGACCCCAAUGGACCCCAACAGACCCCAAUGGACCCCAAUGGACCCCAACAGAUCCCAAUGGACCCCAGUGGAACCCAAUGGACCCCAGUAGGACCCCAAUGGAACCCAAUGGACCCCAGAUAGAACCCAUAGACCCCAAUAGAACCCUUAUGGACCCCA